UUCCAGACUCCUACGGGAGGCAGCAGUGGGGGAUAUUGCACAAUGGGGGAAACCCUGAUGCAGCGACGCCGCGUGAGUGAAGAAGUAUUUCGGUAUGUAAAGCUCUAUCAGCAGGGAAGAAGUUGACGGUACCUGAGUAAGAAGCCCCGGCUAACUACGUGCCAGCAGCCGCGGUAAUACGUAGGGGGCAAGCGUUAUCCGGAUUUACUGGGUGUAAAGGGUGAGUAGGCGGCGAUGCAAGUCAUAUGUGAAAUUCCGGGGCUUAACUCCGGAGCUGCAUAAGAAACUGCGUUGCUUGAGUGCAGGAGAGGCAAGCGGAAUUCCUAGUGUAGCGGUGAAAUGCGUAGAUAUUAGGAAGAACACCGGUGGCGAAGGCGGCUUGCUGGACUGUAACUGACGCUGAGUCACGAAAGCGUGGGGAGCGAACAGGAUUAGAUCCCCCCGUA
rnacentral:rRNA from 1 species